GACGUAGGGCGCAAGCGUUGUCCGGAAUUAUUGGGCGUAAAGAGCUCGUAGGCGGUUUGUCGCGUCUGCUGUGAAAACCCGAGGCUCAACCUCGGGCCUGCAGUGGGUACGGGCAGACUAGAGUGCGGUAGGGGAGAUUGGAAUUCCUGGUGUAGCGGUGGAAUGCGCAGAUAUCAGGAGGAACACCGAUGGCGAAGGCAGAUCUCUGGGCCGUAACUGACGCUGAGGAGCGAAAGCAUGGGGAGCGAACAGG
rnacentral:rRNA from 1 species